GUGCUGGCUUUGGCAGCACAUAUACUAGAACUGGAAUGAUGAUUAGCUCGGCUCCUGUGUAGAGAUGACAUGCAAAUUCAUAAAGUGUUCCAUAAAAAA
rnacentral:snRNA from 1 species